AUCAUUCUCAAAACCCCUAAUUGAAGCACGCAUUCCAACUGAAAUCAACAUUUUCUUUCAUUUUUCCAAAGCAAGAGACUAACCAUUCAAAAUUCUCCGCCCUCAAUUCCCAAAAUUAUUGGCCAAACUUCAUCUUCUUCAUCUCCGUGUCCAUCUUAAACUUUUCAUCUCAACAAAAUACAUUGGUAAGGAUUCCUCGCAAGACCUACGACCCACAACGUUCAUAUAACAUCCACCAAUGAAAUAGUAUCCUGCCUCAACCGACCGCACUGCAUCAUGCAAUCCAUCAACUCAAUUGUAAAUUGAGAGUACUCUAAAAGCGAAUCUAGAACCGAUUUUAUGAUGCUCUUCGACAACAUGUAGAUGAAUUCAACAAUGUCAAAGAACAUCCAUUCAUGUUCACCGUCGCCCUCUCAAACCCUCUCUCUGCUGCUCUGUUUCCAUCUCUCCAGGUUUCAAUCGCGAAGUAUUGAAGUGUUGCUGCUCUCCCUGCUAUCGUCUUCCAUCUCUCCAAGUUUCAAUUUCUCCUUGCAUUCAAUUGUUCGUCUAUCCUUUGGGCUUUCAUUUCUCCAGUUGGCACCAGCUUCCAAGAUGCAUGUGUAAUUGAGAUAUGAUGAUGCACACAAGAUCCAAUGACAGAUUGUAAUUUAUGCCCAUUCUCGCCAAUUGGUACUCCAUUUUCAUUAUAGUCAACUACUAUUUUUUUCCUCGUACUUCUAAUUCUUGUAACGUCAGAUCAAUGUCAGUCCUCUUGUUUUCCUUUUUUCGUUCUUCGGUGCUUCAACAUGUUCCAAUUCAUUUGUAUUUGCAUUAUCCAAAUCUACUUUGAUGUCGUCCAAUCCAAGUGCUAAGUCCUCAUCACUUGCUAGCUUCAUUGUAUAAGAAUUAACCUGAGAAAACAAAUAAAGUUAAAUUAGCUAA